AGUGAACGCUGGCGGUAUGCCUAACACAUGCAAGUCGAACGGCAGCACAGUAAGAGCUUGCUCUUACGGGUGGCGAGUGGCGGACGGGUGAGGAAUACAUCGGAAUCUACUUUUUCGUGGGGGAUAACGUAGGGAAACUUACGCUAAUACCGCAUACGACCUACGGGUGAAAGCAGGGGAUCUUCUGACCUUGCGCGAUUGAAUGAGCCGAUGUCGGAUUAGCUAGUUGGCGGGGUAAAGGCCCACCAAGGCGACGAUCCGUAGCUGGUCUGAGAGGAUGAUCAGCCACACUGGAACUGAGACACGGUCCAGACUCCUACGGGAGGCAGCAGUGGGGAAUAUUGGACAAUGGGCGAAAGCCUGAUCCAGCAAUACCGCGUGGGUGAAGAAGGCCUUCGGGUUGUAAAGCCCUUUUGUUGGGAAAGAAAAGCAGCAGGUUAAUACCCCGCUGUUCUGACGGUACCCAAAGAAUAAGCACCGGCUAACUUCGUG
rnacentral:rRNA from 1 species